rnacentral:rRNA from 1 species
GACGAACGCUGGCGGCGUGCUUAACACAUGCAAGUCGAACGGAAAGGCCCUGCUUUUGUGGGGUGCUCGAGUGGCGAACGGGUGAGUAACACGUGAGUAACCUGCCCUUGACUUUGGGAUAACUUCAGGAAACUGGGGCUAAUACCGGAUAGGAGCUCCUGCUGCAUGGUGGGGGUUGGAAAGUUUCGGCGGUUGGGGAUGGACUCGCGGCUUAUCAGCUUGUUGGUGGGGUAGUGGCUUACCAAGGCUUUGACGGGUAGCCGGCCUGAGAGGGUGACCGGCCACAUUGGGCCUGAGGUACGGACCAGACUCCUACGGGGGGCAGCAGUGGAGAAUAUUGCACAAUGGGCGGAAGCCUGAUGCGGCAGCGCCGCGUGCGGGAUGACGGCCUUCGGGUUGUAAACCGCUUUCGCCUGUGACGAAGCGUGAGUGACGGUAAUGGGUAAAGAAGCACCGGCUAACUACGUG